ensembl:snoRNA
UGCAAAUGAUGUCUUUCUCACGAUGGUCUGCUGAACCCCGUGGUGAAGGGGUUCUGGUGAAACUGCCUUGUGGCUUAGCUGAUGCCUUUGG